GACGAACGCUGGCGGCGUGCUUAACACAUGCAAGUCGAACGGAAAGGCCCUGCUUUUGUGGGGUGCUCGAGUGGCGAACGGGUGAGUAACACGUGAGUAACCUGCCCUUGACUUUGGGAUAACUUCAGGAAACUGGGGCUAAUACCGGAUAGGAGCUCCUGCUGCAUGGUGGGGGUUGGAAAGUUUCGGCGGUUGGGGAUGGACUCGCGGCUUAUCAGCUUGUUGGUGGGGUAGUGGCUUACCAAGGCUUUGACGGGUAGCCGGCCUGAGAGGGUGACCGGCCACAUUGGGACUGAGAUACGGCCCAGACUCCUACGGGAGGCAGCAGUGGGGAAUAUUGCACAAUGGGCGGAAGCCUGAUGCAGCAACGCCGCGUGCGGGAUGACGGCCUUCGGGUUGUAAACCGCUUUCGCCUGUGACGAAGCGUGAGUGACGGUAAUGGGUAAAGAAGCACCGGCUAACUACGUGCCAGCAGCCGCGGUGAUACGUAGGGUGCGAGCGUUGUCCGGAUUUAUUGGGCGUAAAGGGCUCGUAGGUGGUUGAUCGCGUCGGAAGUGUAAUCUUGGGGCUUAACCCUGAGCGUGCUUUCGAUACGGGUUGACUUGAGGAAGGUAGGGGAGAAUGGAAUUCCUGGUGGAGCGGUGGAAUGCGCAGAUAUCAGGAGGAACACCAGUGGCGAAGGCGGUUCUCUGGGCCUUUCCUGACGCUGAGGAGCGAAAGCGUGGGGAGCGAACAGGCUUAGAUACCCUGGUAGUCCACGCUGUAAACGGUGGGUACUAGGUGUGGGGUCCAUUCCACGGGUUCCGUGCCGUAGCUAACGCUUUAAGUACCCCGCCUGGGGAGUACGGCCGCAAGGCUAAAACUCAAAGGAAUUGACGGGGCCCCGCACAAGCGGCGGAGCAUGCGGAUUAAUUCGAUGCAACGCGUAGAACCUUACCUGGGUUUGACAUGGAUCGGGAGUACUCAGAGAUGGGUGUGCCUCUUUUGGGGUCGGUUCACAGGUGGUGCAUGGCUGUCGUCAGCUCGUGUCGUGAGAUGUUGGGUUAAGUCCCGCAACGAGCGCAACCCUUGUUCACUGUUGCCAGCACGUUAUGGUGGGGACUCAGUGGAGACCGCCGGGGUCAACUCGGAGGAAGGUGGGGAUGACGUCAAGUCAUCAUGCCCCUUAUGUCCAGGGCUUCACGCAUGCUACAAUGGCUGGUACAGAGAGUGGCGAGCCUGUGAGGGUGAGCGAAUCUCGGAAAGCCGGUCUCAGUUCGGAUUGGGGUCUGCAACUCGACCUCAUGAAGUCGGAGUCGCUAGUAAUCGCAGAUCAGCAACGCUGCGGUGAAUACGUUCCCGGGGCU
rnacentral:rRNA from 1 species